CUUUCCUCUGACCAUUUGUUCUCUUUUGGCCUCACUCGUCUUCCGUACUCAGCUGCUGUUUGUUGACAUGUCUCCCGUGUUUGUCUGUGACACGUCGGUGACUCGUCUGUGAAUCGCUCGGCGGCACAAUGACCCGAACCCGCUCCAUCGAACCUCGGCCUCUUCUCACAGCUUCACGGACACAGCGGCUCGGAAUGAAGGUCGAUUCCUAACGAGGGACCCGGAAGCGGCUGUUAGCCCGUGCAGCCCCGGAGCUAGCUAGCUAACAGGCUACAUUAGCCGAUGGUAAACAAUGGAGGGGAUCCUGCACAAAUGGACGAACUACAUGACAGGCUGGCAGCCCCGCUGGUUCGUCCUGGAGGACGGAGACAUCUCCUACUACGACAGCGAGGACGACGUUGGUAAAGGAAGCAAAGGAUCCAUCAAGAUGUCCAUGUGUGAGAUUAAAGUUCAUUCAACAGACUCCACCCGUCUGGAGUUGAUCAUCCCCGGCGAGCAGCAUUUCUACGUCAGAGCGGUGAAUGCUGCAGAGAGACAAAGAUGGCUGGUGGCAUUGGGUUCGUCUAAAGCUGGAACACUGGACACUCACAAACACAGAGGUCCCGACUGUCUGAAGACGAAGAUGUCUGAGCUGCGUCUGUACUGCGACCUGCUCGUCCAGCAAGUCCAGACCAUCCAAUCACAGCACAGCACUGACACAGAGACCACAGACACCUCUGAGGCGUCUCUCCUCAGUGCGACCUGUGCUACGUUCAUCAGGACCUUGGAGGAGUGUAUGACCCUGGCCAACCAGAGCUUGAUCCCUGACCUCCGACCUCCUGAAAAGAUGAAGAGGUCGAUCAGUCAUCCUGGAACCUACAGCUUCGACAGGUCGGGUGUGCAGAAGGAGUACGUGAGUGGAGGUCAAAGGUCAACGCAGCGCAGGAACCGGACUUUCUCUGACAGCUCUGUUUACGAUACUGAACGUUUCCUGUCGAGUCCUAACGGCGACCCGUCCUCCAUUCCCGAGGAGCGAGGAGGCAGCACGAGCCCGAAGAACACAGCCACCGACACAGACACUGACUUAUCCAUCUGACAAGCUGACGUCCACCAGAACCUGCUGAGCUCUGGACUCUGACGAGUUUAACGUCACAGUGGAGAUGGUGACAUCAUCUCCAUGGAAGUGAGGACGAACUGGCCUCGAGGGAAAGUUCUUCUUCUUCACACGUGCACUUUGGAAUCAUGGGUCACUUUUCCCUCGAGCCUUGAAAUUAAACGGAACACACUGGAGAGACUUAAAGACGAAUCAACACGUCGCCACAUUCACAGUUCAUAACGACUGUGAAGCUGGAAUCCUGGAAAAAAAACUCUGUGGAUCAACAAGUGAAAGAAAAGUGCAGUUAUAUUAUCAGUGGUUAAGCCCAGUAACCAAAUGAUGACUCCCUGGAAGAGUAUAAAUACACAAAUAACCGUGACAUCCGCUUUUCUGGACAGUUUAGAAGCCAGAGUCGGAUGUUUCACAGUUUUAAAAUUGACCCAAGAAUGUACAGAUAGUUUUUAAAUCAGCAGCCGUGUCACAGAAGCAUCUUCUUCUACAGUAUUUACUGCUUUUUCCACAUAUUCCCCCAAAACUCCGUCCCUCUUCCCUGACAGCUUUGAGGUGGUGAGGUCAGUCAACCAGACUGAUCCUGGAGCAGCUUUGAGACUCAGAGCCGAGGAGUUCAGGUCUUCAGAUGCCAACGAUUGCUUGAAUGCAAAGAUCAGUAAACGUGCCAUUGUGAUAUUCUCCAGAAGACGACCUUCUCCGAGGUUUAGCUGCAAGAACGAGGAAGGAAGGAGGAGGAAGACGAGACUUUGAUUUAUUCUUCCGCUUCCUUUGAGGAGUUUGCACCUUCUCCUGUUUUUUGUUUCUGCUGGGUUGUGUUGUUCUUCCCCACGCUCUCAUUGUGAAUGUGUUGCAAGUUACUGCCUUUUUAACGUGUGUAUUUCCUCAGUGAUUAUUUAGCCUUUUAAAGAUGAUGCCGUCCAAUUAUGACCCUGAACAGAGAGAAGUACGGUGGCCCUGGAGGCUUAACUCACUGCAAAUUAAGCAAACGCAUACAAAUAAAACACAAGACAAGGAAGAAAAAUGAACGGAACAAAUAUUUACUGAAAAAUGACCUUUCAUUUCUGAAGCACGUUUCUGUAUCUGGUUGUUUUUUUGGAAACUUGAUUCUCAGAUUUCAGUUGAGGCCGUUUGCAGAUUUGUUAUCUUCGUGAGUCACUUUCUGCCGGGAGCUUUACACUCAGCUGCCAAAACAAACAACUUUGUAAAGUAUUUCUACAACAGUGACGCCGGAGGAAUCAGUGUCCACAGCUAACGAAUUGAAAAAAGUAUUAUAGGUCAAUCACAUUAAUUACUAAUGCCUUAUAAAUCAAAACAUUAAUGAGGAAAGCUUUUGUGUUGACAGGUUGUGAAGAAGAUGAAAAUAAUAAGUGGUUGAACAAUUUAAGAUUCAACAAAACAAGCUGAGGAGUUUUUCCCCAAACCUGGAAACUUUUAAAAGUUGUUUGUAUCCGAACUCAUUUUUCGAGGCAGUGAAAGACGAACAGACAGAACGUGUGGAUCUCUGCCCUCGAUGAAUCUCCUCCAGAAGUGUUGUGACACGUUUCACUGUUCAAACACUCACGAACAUCUUCACCUGAACGCAAAGCAAACAGGCGUGAAAGGAACCAAUCACACGCAGAAUCAUUAUGUGGUAACUGCUCAACUGAGCGUCUGAAGGAUCCUGUUUCUGUGCCGGGGUUUCCAGCUGCUUCACCUGUAAAUCCUCACAUGUAACCUUCUCACGGGACAGUUAACUCCUCCUCGUUUGGGACAAAACAAAACUUAAUGCUUUGUGUAUUUUAUUUACCCUUAAAGACACAAAGGCGUGACCACAGCUGUCGUACCUGAAGCCACGUGAGAAUCGGCAGUUGGUUUCUCUUCUGGUUCCAAACACUGAGAAUAAUAAGUUGAACAUAUAUCAUCGAUAACCUCACGAACAGAAGCCGGUUCCUGAAGCAGCUGUUGAAAUAAACCCAGUUUCCUGGAGCUGAAGACGAGAACGGGAAACAACAACUACAGAGCAGCGAUGUGAGGAAAGAAUGAGUGAAGCAAUCAGAGGUGGAGAGAAAACUACAGGACUCAUGUCAGAGUCCAGAGACUCGACUGACGAUCAGUCUGCAGACACAAACACACAACUGAAGACCAGAUCCAGCCCGGUGCCCCUCAGCCUGGCUCGCUGUGCCGCCUGCUACAACCACAAGUCCAGCACCGUGUCCUGGCGCGGGGACGCCGGCGAGUCCAGCUCCUCGGCCGAAGACUCGGGUCCAGAGGUGGAGGACGAGGAGUCGGAGGCAGAGUCCAGCUCCUCCAGCUCCAGCAGCUGCAGGAGCUCCGCGACCGAGGAGCCUGAACCCGAGAGGAGUGGAGAUGCUGCUGAGGAGGAAUCCAGAGGAGAUGGAGGAGAGGGAGGAGGAGGAGGAGGAGGAGGAGGAGAGGGAGGAGGAGGAGGAGGAGGAGGAGGAGAGGGAGGUGAUGAGACGGUUGAGACGUUAAACAGACAAGAGCCUCCCUCCCUGACUCCUCACCUCCUCCCUCGCUCCUUCCUGCCUCGCCCCCCUCAGGUCGUCUCCACCCUCCACCUGCAGGUGCUCCCUCAGAACUGUGGUGAUGAUGAAACGCUCUUCAACAUCCGAGAGCUCCGGCCUGAGAGAGAGGAGGAGCAAACACAGGGGGGUUACGGAGGAGGAGGAGGAAGAGGAGGAGGAGGAGGAGGAGGAAGAGGAGGAGGAGGAGGAGGAGGAAGCAUCUACAAGCUUCUGCCUCCACAGCCGCAUCAGUACCAGCAGAUGAUGAUACCAUGGCAAAAUAUGUCACAACAAACAAUACAACAACAUCUUCAUCAUCAACAACAACAACUUCAGAGAUCUGGACACCUCUCAGCUCAGGGUCAAAGGUUACCACCUCCCUCAUGCACAGGCCCCCCCACACCGUGCAUGCCGCUGUGGGCACCGAACCCACCACAGACACACACACACACACUCACUCUGCAGCCAUGUUGGCACUGUCGCUACGUGCACCCCCCAAACACACACUGCAGCUAUUAACAAGGUGAGUCCGACUGUGUAGCAGUGGACCGGACCGUGUGUGUGUGUGUGUGUGUUUGUUUGUGUGUUUGUGUGUGUUCUGUGUUGACGUGGUGGAAAUAUUGUGAUGUCUUAUUGUGUGCCUCUAAUUAAAUGUGUUAACAAUUUGCUUUGUUUUGAUUAAAAUGUGAUAUUUCUGUGACAUCAGAAAACAAGUUCAGUGAAAUCUUAAUUAUUUGUGUUUGUAUGAAUUUCGUAGUAAACAAUCCAGCAGUGUAGAGAUACUUCUGUCUGGACGAGAGAUACUUCUACUCUUCUUCUGUUUCUUUACUACGACAAGUAUUUAAUGAAUCAAAUGAAAACACUUCCUCCGGUUCAGCUCUGACGUGUGAAGAAGAAAUCGACUUUUACAGUAACUGAUAAGUGUAGAGAGUGUAGAGAGCAGGUGAGAUAAAAAAGACACAGCUGUCGUUUCUGUCUGACGUUCAGUUUCCACACACAGAUACACAAACACAGACAAAGACACAAACACACACAAAGACACAAACACAAGAGGCUCUUUGUGUGAUGUGUGUGAGGUUUGUUCCACCUACAGUAGCCAGUAAGUCUCUCCAGAUGGCUCCACUGAGACAAAGUGUUUCCACUGAGACUGCCAACAACACACACACACACACACACACACACACACACACACACACACACAAACCCAUAAAAACACACACACAGUGAAAAUGAUGCAGGAGAAGAAGAAUUGUUGGAGAGAUUUUAAGUUUCCUGCCUGAAGGUGAUGAUUUUUGUGCGUUUAGUGAACGUGUUAGUCUCAUUUAAUCAUUGGUCAAAUGUUACUGUCACAGAGACAGUUGUGUGUUAAUUUGUGUGUGUUUGUUUGCUUGUUUGUUAGUUAGCAGAGUUACACAAAGGAGCAAUGUAAAAAAUAAAUAAAACAACACGUUAAAUGAAUAAACACAUUUUUAAGAAA